UAUUUAAAAAUUUAAAUUUAAAUUUUAAAAUUUUAAAAUUUAAAAGUUAUUUAUUUAAAUUUAAAAAUUUAAAUAUAAAAUAUAAAAUUUUAAAUUUAAAUAAAAUAUAAGGGGCAUUGUUAUUAUUUUCUAUUUAUAACUAUUAAACAUUUUUCUUAUUCCGUCUUAUCUUUGUAAAUGUUUUUUUUUUUUUUUUUUUCGAGAUAGAUUCAAUUUCCAUCCAAACGUAAAAUUGAUGUAUUUCAGACUUAUAUCUAAACUUAUACAUAUUUCUGAAAUAGCCAGUUCUUACUUAUAUCCGAACUAAACGAAGUCUUAUUGUUUAUUUAACAUUGAGCACCAA
rnacentral:lncRNA from 1 species